AAACUUAAAUAUUAUUAUGACUGAUUUGAAAAAAUCGAAAGAUAGGGAAGUAAGUGAGAUUCUUACACUGUCCCGCAACCGUGAAAAAACUGUAUUUUACAGUUUUUAAGUCGGAUAACUAUCCAUAAUAAUUAUUCAUUA
rfam:Leptotrichia buccalis DSM 1135, complete genome.